UCCAGCGUAGCGGGGCCUACGGUGGGCUUUCCUCAUCUCGUAUCUCUCGACCUCGGGCUCUGUUCUCCCCCAAAUCCGUUCUCAAUUUCAAAAUUGGUGGGUCGUGAGCAAACCCUUUACCCAGCCUUCUAACCGUGCUGGCGCCCGCUGGAAAAAAAGACAGCAGCCAAUACCGAAACUCCAACUUUUUAGCGAAUGUCGACAAAUCUUCCAAGGGGACGCCUGGCUGCCUCAGUCAGUAGAGCUUUUGAUCCUGGGGUUGCGAGUUGGAGCCCUUCCUUGGUUGUAGAGAGUACCUAAAAAUAAAGCCUUUAACAAAAAAAAAAAAAAAAAAAAAAAAAAAAAAAAAAAAAAAAGAAAUCUUCGAUUAACAUCGGAACAAAACCACAUUGGCAUCCUGCCUUUAUGAGGGAGGGAAGGUGGAUAAAACAGCAAUAAGCUCUAGCUUAUUCUGGCGGCGUCUUUGUUCUGGAAAGAGAGAACAAGGUAACAUGGAAACAGUUGUCCUUCUUCUGUCCACUAGUCAAUGGAUCACCUCCUGUAAAGUACUACGUUGAAUAAAAGUGGUGAGAGUGGACAUCCUCAUCUUGUUCCUGAUCUUAGAGGAAGAGCUCUCAGUUUUUUACCACUGAGUAUGUUACCUGUCGGUUUUUCAUAUGUGGCCUUUAUUCUGUUGAGGUAUGUUCUUUGCAAACAUACUUUGUUGAGAGU